CCUAAAUCCCUGCACGAUGGUUUUUCCGUGCGGAUCGAUCUCCGUGCCGGAAAAUGAAAAGGGAACGCGAUCCAGCACAUGCGCCGGCCAGUCCGUUGGUUGUGCGAUGUCGCGGCUGCCCCCGCAACUGUAGGCGGAGAGUAUUUUGCCCGGUCUGCUCCGGAGAAUAAACCCGGAGCACCGUAUCGCCACUGAUCCCGGAUCCGGGACUGGGAAGGCAGGUGGAAUACGUCUGAUCCGUGAGCCAGGAGACCUGCCAUCGUCCGGAUCGCGAA
rnacentral:ncRNA from 2 species